AAGAUACUCCCUCCGUUCCGAAUUACUUGUCGCAGAAAUUGAUGUAUCUAGAACUAAAAAAUGUCUAGAUACAUCCAUUUCUAUGACAAGUAAUUCCGAACGGAGGGAGUAGAAG
rnacentral:pre_miRNA from 1 species